GCUAGUCGUGGUGGCAGGCGACUGUAAUCCCAGCUACUGGGAGGCUGAGGCAGGAGAAUCACUUGAACCCGGGAGGUGGAGGUUGCAGUGAGCUGAGAUGGCGCCACUGUACUCCACCCUGGGUGACAGAGUGAGACUCUGUCUCAA
rnacentral:sRNA from 1 species